rnacentral:misc_RNA from 1 species
GGGAGAGCUCAGAAAUUAAGGUUUGUUCGGUUUAUGGGUGUGUUAUGGGUGUAGACGUUGAAGGUUCACAGUUAACGGUAUGUGGGUCGUCGUACGGUAGUCGCUGAUGCAGAGGAAAGAAAAUCCUUUCCUCAAUUGCAGUCCACUUCCACUAGGUCUAGCUAGGUGAGCGAUUUCCAAAUUUAUGAUGAUGGGGCGAUGGCCAUUGGUUGUGAUUACGGUGAAUCGUUGAUGGUUGGAGGAAGCUGAAAUUUUUGUAGGGACUAGAGAUGGCUUUUUUUAG